rnacentral:rRNA from 1 species
UACGGAGGGGGCUAGCGUUGUUCGGAAUUACUGGGCGUAAAGCGCACGUAGGCGGACGAGAAAGUCAGGGGUGAAAUCCCGGGGCUCAACCCCGGAACUGCCUUUGAAACUCCUUGUCUUGAGGUCGCGAGAGGUGAGUGGAAUUCCGAGUGUAGAGGUGAUAUUCGUAGAUAUUCGGAGGAACACCAGUGGCGAAGGCGGCUCACUGGCGCGAUACUGACGCUGAGGUGCGAAAGCGUGGGGAGCAAACAGG